rnacentral:tRNA from 1 species
UGCGAGAUAGAGCAGUUCGGUUCAGCUCAUCAGGCUCAUAAUUUGAAAAUCGUAGGUUCAAAUCCUACUCUCGCAA